rnacentral:rRNA from 1 species
CCUACGGGAGGCAGCAGUAGGGAAUCUUCCACAAUGGACGAAAGUCUGAUGGAGCAACGCCGCGUGAGUGAUGAAGGUUUUCGGAUCGUAAAACUCUGUUGUAAGGGAAGAACAAGUACGAGAGGUAAUGCUCGUACCUUGACGGUACCUUGCGAGAAAGCCACGGCUAACUACGUGCCAGCAGCCGCGGUAAUACGUAGGUGGCAAGCGUUGUCCGGAAUUAUUGGGCGUAAAGCGCGCGCAGGCGGCCUUUUAAGUCUGAUGUGAAAGCCCCCGGCUCAACCGGGGAGGGUCAUUGGAAACUGGAAGGCUUGAGUACAGAAGAGAAGAGUGGAAUUCCAUGUGUAGCGGUGAAAUGCGUAGAGAUGUGGAGGAACACCAGUGGCGAAGGCGACUCUUUGGUCUGUAACUGACGCUGAGGCGCGAAAGCGUGGGGAGCAAACAGGAUUAGAUACCCUGGUAGUCCACGCCGUAAACGAUGAGUGCUAGGUGUUGGGGGGUUUCCGCCCCUCAGUGCUGAAGCUAACGCAUUAAGCACUCCGCCUGGGGAGUACGGCCGCAAGGCNGAAACUCAAAUGAAUUGACGG